rnacentral:rRNA from 1 species
UACGUAGGGGGCAAGCGUUGUCCGGAUUUAUUGGGCGUAAAGAGCGUGUAGGCGGUCAGGUAGGUCCGUUGUGAAAACUCGAGGCUCAACCUCGAGACGCCGAUGGAAAACCAUCUGACUAGAGUCCGGAAGAGGAGGAGUGGAAUUCCUGGUGUAGCGGUGAAAUGCGCAGAUAUCAGGAAGAACACCCGUGGCUAAGGCGGCUCUCUAGUACGGUACUGACGCUGAGACGCGAAAGCGUGGGGAGCGAACAGG